rnacentral:misc_RNA from 1 species
AAAGAAAUUAAUUUUAGGUUUAUGAAGUAAAAAAAAUGUAUAUAUAUUACAUGAAGAUGGUGGAUGAUAAUGUACAAUGUGAUUUUACAUAGAGAGGCAUCUUUCUUUCUUCAUCUCUAGCCCUAGAAAUCCUAUAUACAUCAGAAUCUAAAACUAGUUAAACAACAUUUAAAAACAAAAGAAAAGAAAGAGAAAUCAAAACCAAGUAAAAAUGACAUGAAUAUUCACUGAAGUUUUCCUCUUGCCAGCUACUAUUAUAACUCGUGGAUUUUGAAAAUAAUCUGUCUAUCGACAGAUUCAAGAAGGCCA